ensembl:lncRNA
AUUCUGAUGAAGAUCAUCAAAGUCUUAAGCUAUAACUCUCUUAGGAACCAUAAGGAGAGAGUGGAGAAACAAAAAAGCGCUCCAGCUGACAUGGAACAAGACAGCAGAUUCAGCUAGAAUGACAUUUUAUUGUGUGAUGAGAGAUGGAAAUAAAAUUGUGUAUGAUGUGAUUAUAGAACAGAGGCCAUAAGUCUCUGAGUUUGUAAACCUCACGGUGAAUGUUUGUUAUCAUUGUUAGUUCCAUUUGUUAGUUUUUAAAUUCAUGUUUUAUGAUCGUUCGUCCAUUAAUUAGUAAUUUCCAAGUUUAUAUAUUAUAUAUUUAUAUUUAUAUAUAUUGAACAUUAGGAUGCUAUUGUUCAAGAGGGACUGUUGGAUUUGAAAUGUUGAAAAUUGAGAUAUUAAAGACAUGAUAGAUCAGACACAUAGUAUAUAAAGGAGUGAGAUCUGUAAGACAGAGUGGCUGUGGAAUGUGCUGGGUGGAUGGGAGGAGAUCAAAGGAUUGCUAUAGGGGAAGCAGAUGAACAUCUUUGGAUUAGGCGAAGGAGGGGUUGAGGUCAGGUCAGAUCCCAUGAAGGGAGUAAUAAGGGUUUACUACCCACUCCCUGUUUAAAACCGUAAGAUGUUAGGAUUGGAGAGAAGGAGGAGUGUCUUAAGUGGGAUAUUUAUACCUGUGAUGGUGAGAAAUGUCUGGUUGUCUGAAUUACAGCUACAACCCUUUGGGAAGAAUUAAACUUGGUUAAGCUUCUCUAGUGUCCGUGAGUUAUUUCCUCU